AGAUUGAACGCUGGCGGAACGCUUUAACACAUGCAAGUCGAACGGUAGAGGGGCAACCCUUGAGAGUGGACGAACGGGUGAGUUAAUAUAUCGGAACGUGCCAGUCGUGGGGAUAACGUAGCGAAAGCUACGCUAAUACCGCAUACGAUCUAUGGAUGAAAGCGGGGGAUCGCAAGACCUCGCGCGAUUGGAGCGGCCGAUAUCAGAUUAGGUAGUUGGUGAGGUAAAGGCUCACCAAGCCGACGAUCUGUAGCUGGUCUGAGAGGACGACCAGCCACACUGGGACUGAGACACGGUCCAGACUCCUACGGGAGGCAGCAGUGGGGAAUAUUGGACAAUGGGCGAAAGCCUGAUCCAGCCAUGCCGCGUGUGUGAAGAAGGUCUUCGGAUUAUAAAGCACUUUAAGUUGGGAGGAAGGGUAGUAACCUAAUACGUUGCUACUUUGACGUUACCGACAGAAUAAGCACCGGCUAACUUCGUG
rnacentral:rRNA from 1 species